rnacentral:misc_RNA from 1 species
CAGAAAUCUGAUUGGGAACCCAGAUACCUAUUUUGGAGGGGUUUGAUCCUCACAAUUGCCCGCCAAUUCAACUUCGUCUUCAUUAAACCUUCUGAAAUAACGAAUCAAUGGUUUUCUCGAGGAGGGUUGGCCCCAUUGUGCCUUGACCAUGUUCUGCAUCUAAUGUAUAUUGAGGGCGACAUUAUAAGACGUAGUGACAUGCUGGAUCCAAG